ensembl:snoRNA
UAGACCAGUGAUGAAUACUGGUGACACAACAGUCAUGGAUGAUAAAAAUACAUGCCUGAAACUAUGAAGUCCAA